AAGUCGUUUUGGGCAGGAGUUAUAAUCAUGCCCAAAACCAGCUCCAAAGGAACACAAUGAGGAAUAGUCACCGUAUCCACUGGCGGGACCCAUAUAGCGCUAGAGUAAGAGUACUGAGCACCGUCGAGUACCGACUGUUGCCACGCCCCCUAAUGAAAUAAGCGCAGGCACCUAGAGCCGUGGCGCAGUUGAAUUGCAGAAUCUGAAGAUGUUCAGGUACUCCUGAAUCACUAGCGAAAGGGGGUAAGGCAAGUAGGAAGCACAGUGACGCGCAACACUCCACCUAUGGAAGGAUAGUGCGACAGUCGGACUGUAUCCAAACUGUUGCCACAGGAAAAUACCCAACCUAAGAAGGGGGGUUAAUACCCACGGCGAGAACUAGUGCAUAUGGCAAUCCUGUACCCUGUGGGAGAGCAAUUAACACCUGAGUAAGGGGGUAAUGUAUACAGCACACCUUGUAACCAGUGAGAAUGGAA